rnacentral:lncRNA from 1 species
GGCUUGUGAGAUGGUGUGUCCAGACCCAGGCGCAGGACUUCCCAGGACUUCUGGCCCUGGGCGCUGGGCCAGAAGACAUCAGAGUGACAGGCACUGUGCUGUUCCUCAAACCCCACCAGGACCACCCCAGUCUCCAUUCUAGUCCUGGUCCAGUGCAACUGAACCUAGUAGGUGCUUCUAUUUCCCCCUCCUGUGAAGAGAGUCUUUCCUAGGAGACUCCAUCACUCAGGUAUGCAGACCCACAGGUAGGUUGAGCCACACAUCAUCCUGGCAUUCACAGACUUACAUCUAAAUCCUAAUCAGGGAGAGGAAGAGGACACAGCUAUCUUAAGCUCAGGUUCCAGGUACAAAGUAAUGAAUGGGUAAUUGGAUAAAUUACUGAAUAAAAGAGGGAGAGAGAAAUGGAAUGAAAAGAAAAAGGGAAGGAAGGUAGAUAAGUAAAAAGAAGAAAAUAAAAGAUUCUGGAAAGUAGUUCCUAACCCAAGUUCCAAUCUCUCUCUCUCUCUCUCUUUCUCAAUCAUGAUGGGAUGGGGAGGGCAGAGGAAUAUGUUAGGACAGACUCCUCCACUUCCGUUCAAGUACCAAUAACUAGAUGUAGAAAGAAAGUAUGCAAAUUAGAAGACUAAUGUUCUAAAAUGAGUAAGAGCCUAUUUGCUCACUCUUGGCUCUUAGGAAACUAGAGAACUCAUGGGGAAGGCAGGCAAACAGAAGCAAGAUUUCAUCAGAACACUGGCCCCUUGUCAAUUUAUCACUCUGGUGAAACAGCGUGACGCUUGGGAUUUCCCCAGAACGUCAAACUGCAAUUUUACAUGUGCUGCUUGGAAGCAAGCUGUGUAACUUCCUGUAAUAAGGAUUUCAAGUAUUCAAGCAAUAAAUCUGAGAUGCCAGAGCCUCUCUUAACACUGUCCUGUAGCUCAGCAACUCCAAAUUAGCACAGCUCCACACAUCCAAAGCCUGGAAAGGGUGGAAGAUGAAUAUGAACGGACAGAUCCCUCAUGCUCACCCUUGGUGGUGAAUUGAGUCAUCAGCUGAGUAUGGAAAGGAGUGGGGAACAAGCUCACAGGCUCUUUGUCUCCUUCGACUUUUGUUUCACAUUUGCCAGGAGGUAAGGCCUUCAUACCUGCAGCUGGGUCAAGUAUCUGGAAACACGUGGGCUGCCAGCAGAGCCACUUCAUGUCAGCAUCAGAGUACAAACCUUUUUUUCUCUUCAGCAAAUGGCACAACCUUCCACCUGGUCACCUGAGGCAGAAACCUGCUAUUGCUUUGACCAUCUCCUCCUUCAUCUUCCACAUCCAAAUGAAUGGUCACCAGCAUGUUGGGUCCCUGCUGGAAGUCCAUCACCACCUGUUUAUUCCUACUGCAUUGCCACAGGCCCUUAUCCAUCUUCCCGGACUCAACACUAUGAUCAUUUCCAAGCUGAGCUCCAGCUUCUGCAUGUAUCCAGCCCCACUCGGUCUUCCACUCUCUCACAUCCCAUGGCCAGAGGUAUCUUCUAGACAGAGAACAUUAAUAUCAUCUCAUCACUCCACUGCUUAACAUCCUUCUGUGGCUUGCCUUUUCCCAUAGGCAAGUUCAAAUGCAUGCAUCCAAAUGGACGGCUCUUUACCGUCCUGCCCCAUCAGGUCUCGCAGCUGCAACCCCCUCUCCCACCAUAUCCCUGCCCCCUUCACUCCCCUUGCUCCCUAACACUGACCUUCUUGCAAUUCCUCCAAAGUAUCAGGCCUCCUCCCACCUCUAGACAAAUGCCCAGGCUGUUCUCUCUAGCCUGAAAUACCCCCGCCCCUCCACUCCAUCCAACUAAUGCCUGCUUAUCCACCAGACUUUUGGUGAUGCAUCUGUUGUUGUUGUUGUUUGUUGUUGUUUUGAAAACUGCAUUGACCCUCUUUCUCUUUCCCUGCAAGCGGACUCAGGCACCUUUCAUUUGCACCCAUUCUCUACACUCUGUGAACACUCUUGUGCACCUCUCUUGAUGCCACUGUGUUCUCACUGUUAAUCUCCUUGUCUUUCACCCUCACCAUCCCUGUAGCCCCAUGGCCUAGCACAUGCCUGGUUCUGCCUAUCACAGGAUCUGUAAGGGCUUACUGAAGUGAAGUAAGUUGUAAUGAAAUGAAAGCUUCCUAGGUUGGUGCUGCCUGACCUCUAUCCAGUUAAUCUAUGAUCAGGGUGGCUGUUGAUUCUGUGGUACGCUAUGCCUGUUUGAUUCUUUAUGACAGAAUGUGAUUUGCCUUGCUCUAUUUUCAUCACAGUUUACAUGCUUUUAAGGCAAGAGAACCCCAUUUUCUGAUUUCUAAAGAUUUCCCACCCAACUUCUGUUCAAAUAUUUUGUCAAACAAUGGAAAAAGCCAAAGGCAGUUAAGUCCAUGAAUGGGGUUACAUUGCAUAGGCAAAUAAAUCUUCCCCUAGCUCUCUCCUUUCAAAGGGAUGGCCUCAAUAAAUUCUUCAAGUAAGCUACUUUAAAAAUAUCUCUUCUACCACUAUUUACCUCAUUUGAAUCUAUCUGAAUAUGGAACAGAGUAGGAACAUGUGAAAUGUAUUAGGUAAAUCUUACAUUGGUAGGA